rnacentral:tRNA from 1 species
GCUCUGGUGGUGGAAUUGGUAGACACGCCAUCUUGAGGGGUGGUGGACACAGUCCGUGCGAGUUCAAGUCUCGCCCAGAGCACCA